GUGUACCAGAAUCUCAUGGCAAACAAAAAUAUUGGAAAAGUGUGUUUUUCAUAUGGCAAUUGUCUAUGGUUUAAUUGUCACCUGUCAAAGAAAAUUAUGAAAUCUGUCAGCCGCUGCAAAAUUUUUGUAAUCUCUUCUUGACUAUUUGUUAUUUUUGUGAAAAAGUCGAAAAAGUUCAAGCAAGGCAUAUUGUUUUCAAUGUGAAUUGUAAAAUAAGGCAUAAUUCAAAGUCGAUCUUUGAUUCUAAAGCGCGUCGUCGAGUUGACAGUAUAUCUCACAAAUUGGUGCAGAUGUUAUGACCAUGUAAAGAAAAUUGAAAAAGAUUUCAUAAAGCAAGAUUGAAUAAUGGAGAAGUUUCCAAUUUUUUUCUUUGAAAUAAACUUGAAAUAAAUAUAAGUAGAACUAAUAAUAAUUGUGAAAUAAUCAUGAAAAUAUCUCUACAAAUAAAUAAGUUACAGGGCCCUUAAGUUGCGCAUAACUAUUCACGCCAUUUUGAUCGGUGUAUUCACACAGUCAUUCGGAGUACAAACAGUAAAUCACCCCUGAUCCAGCCAGUUCAUUUUUUUUAAAUCUAGCAGUUUUUAAUUUUUCAGCUAGGGUCACUCAAGAUUCUUUCUUAAUAAAAUGUAACCUUUUUUUUAAACAACCCAGACCUGGCCAUAUACAAAAAGAACGGCACCGCCUAUGUUUCAGUUCCACGCGAAAAUAUGUAGGUAAUUUAAAUAAUAAAUUAAUUUCUCAGACAUUUCUUUUCUCACAGACGAUUUAUUUAAUUUCCAAGACAUUUUCCUAUGUUAAAAACCUGAUGUAUAACAACAUUCUUCCACCACACAUACCUACCUAAAAUGUAUAUUCGUACUUCAUGUUCAUUAAUAUUAGUCAUAAAAGUAAAAAAUUAAACAGUA